CGUCACUUCCUGUCUGCUACAUUCUUCUCAACAGAGGUGAUUCCUCAUUUUGUCUUCAUGCAGCCAUCAAACACACACGUGUUGCAAACUAUCACGAAAUCAUUCAGGGAAAAUGAAGUCAAAAGACGAGAACGUCGAGCAAGAAUGUGUCAGGAAGUACCUGGCCAGGUUGAGGCGCGCCCUUUGACCCCCGCUGAGCGUCACCCCUCCUUCAACAAGACUCCAGUGUAAACGCAAAUGUGGUCCCAAUGUGGCCUCGACGUCACUUGCAUGCGCACUUUGAUAAAGUGAAAACAAGGGAAGUUGACCGGGAGGAAGUCGUUACUACUACAAAAUAAAAUAAAAGUCUUCAC